UGCAGUUGGCUUUCCUUUAACCUUUUAGUCUUUCAGGGUAAUUUUCUUUCUUUUUUUUUUUGAGACUCCCAACAAGUUUAUUAUUUUUUAAAUUGUGGUAAAAUGCUUAUAAGGAAACUUGCCAUCUUAACUAUUUUUAAGUGUACAGUUCAGUGGCAUUAAGUACAUUCACAUUGUUGUGCAGCCAUCACUAUAAUCUAUCUCCAGAACUCUCUUCAUAUUCCAAACUGAAACUCUGUACCCAUUUAACAGUAACUCCCCAUUCCAGGCUCGCCACAGUCUCUGGCAACCACUAUUCUACUUUCAGGAUAAUUUUCAUUGGUUAGUAAUGUUUGGAUAAUUUGAUUAGAUUUGGUGGAUACUGAAGACUGGCCGGGUUAUGUAAGCUGUUGCUACUUUCAGCCAAGGAGUGCAUCUAGUCCGUAUUACAUCAUCCUUGGAGUGUUCUACCCAGUGUCUUGCAUUGAAGGACAUCAGAAGGAAAACUCCUGUAUUCUCAGUCGUGGCUUUAAUUUGUGCCUGGUGCUGACCUGAUGCUGUGCAGGGACACUCACUGCAUCCCUCCAUUCAGUCCCUCUAAUUAUCCCAACUUCCUGGGGAGCUUGCUUAGAACUGGGCAUGAGUGCUCUUUAUUAAAAUAUUGGGCUACCCUGGCUACAUGUAACAAGGUUCAUGUGAAAAUGGCGGAUGAGGCUGUCUGUGUUGGCCCAGCUCCCACCAGUAAAAGCUACCUCAACAUGGAUGCCAUCAUGGAAGCCAUUAAGAAAACCAGGGCCCAAGCUGUACAUCCAGGUUAUGGAUUCCUUUCAGAAAACAAAGAAUUUGCCAGAUGUUUGGCUUCUUUUAUUAUGAGCAUUAAAGGACCAUCCAUGGGAGACUAUGAGGAUUGUUAGGAUGAGGCAAAGACAUCUUAACAGAGUUUACAAAGAGCUUUGAAACGUGAAACUACCUUCUCUGGAAAAAUGGGAUGUUGGCUUGAAGAUAUUUCUUAGUAUUCUGUGUUUUCUUUCUGGUUUUUCUAUGUUGUUUUAAUCAUAUUAUCAUACCUUGUCAUUUCAGGUAACAUAGCAUAAGUUAUAGUAAUUAGUUUCAAGAGAAACAUAUGUUAGAAUUUGUGUUUUGUGUUUGGAUCCUAUCUGUGUACUUGAAAGAUACACGUAUAUGUAGAUGGAUAGUGAGUUCCAUCAGGAUGCUCAGCGUUGAAAGCAUAGGAGGGAACUGUGCUGAGCGUGUGAGGUUUGGCGAUUGUGCUCUUUUAUCUUCUUUCUUUCUUGAGUUUUUAGCAAGAUAAGACAUGUAACUACUGUAAAAUGAGAGGUAAUUUUUAAAAUAGCCACUGGGUUAACCAAAAACCUUUUAAAUAGCUGUGGCAUCCAGUGUGGGCAAGGGUCACAUAGUUUUGUUCCUGGAAGUGUAAAUUGUUUCAGACCUCCCCCGGCCCCCAGAAAUUUGCUAGUAUUUAUCAAAAUUUAAAACAUCUAUAUGUUCUUUAAUUUAACAGUUCCACCCUUAAGAAUCUCACUUACAAAGAUAUACUUGAGAAAAUGUUCAUGGUAAGGUGUUUCAUAAUAGCAAAAUUUAGAAAGUGUUCAAAAGUAAAAUGUGGAGAAUGGUGGCUUCCCUGCAGGGUCAUUGGUCCUCAGUUACAAGGCUGCAGUCCAUGAUGUGUUAUAGUUUAAAGUGUGUUGUAAGCACUUUGUAACUAAUACUAAAAUUCUGAAGUUAGCAAGUUUGCCAGUGACUUUGUUUAACAAUUUUUUUGUUUAUAAAAUAAAGUGGAUUAAAAAUG
rnacentral:lncRNA from 10 species